AAUAAGUGUCGUUGUGGGUUUUCGUAUCAUGUUUCACUGUUCAUCUUAUUUUAAAAAAUAAUAUGAUUAGUAUUUUUAUUGUUAUUACAUAAUAGAAGAAUAUAUUAUUUUAUGUAUGACUAAAUUUUAAAAAAAAUUUAUAAAUUUUUUAAAUAAAACGGACGGUUAAACGUUAGGAAAAU
rnacentral:pre_miRNA from 1 species